rnacentral:misc_RNA from 1 species
GUUAUAAAGUGCAUAUAAUAUAAAUCUUUUGAGAGAUAUGUAUCAUAGUCUUUUCCAACUAAAAUAUACCCACCAAUCAAAAUCCUAUAGAUAAAUAAAAUCUUUCCAAAAUUGAAUGGCAUAAGUAGGAAACAGAGUUCUUUGUCUAGCUGUCAAUGGUAACAACUCGCACUUGAUACAUUGACAUAUAGAGGAAGCAUCACACCAUUUUGCAAAUGUUAUGG